UACAGAGGGGGCAAGCGUUAUUCGGAAUUAUUGGGCGUAAAGGGCGCGUAGGCGGUUCUUCAAGUCUCUCGUGAAAUCCCUCGGCUUAACUGAGGACGUGCGGGAGAUACUGAAGGGCUUGAGUCCGGAAGAGGGUGGUGGAAUUCCCAGUGUAGCGGUGAAAUGCGUAGAUAUUGGGAGGAACACCAGUGGCGAAGGCGACUACCUGGCCUGUUCUUGACGCUGAGGCGCGAAAGCUAGGGGAGCAAACAGG
rnacentral:rRNA from 1 species